UAACAGCCAUAGCUCCGAGCUUUAUUUGCUAAGUCGCAAUAGUUAAGUUGUACGAUAGGUAAUAAAGCCAGUGACGAGGUUUGUCACCAGGGUUGAUCUAGAAAUGGAUUAGCCUCCCGUAUUUGGAAAGGUGUUCCGUGGCGAAACAA
rfam:Photobacterium damselae subsp. damselae CIP 102761 Contig58, whole genome shotgun sequence.